CACGUAGGUGGCAUGGUAAGUCAAAGGUGAAAGCCCUCGGCUCAACCGAGGAAUUGCCUUUGAAACUGCUUUGCUUGAGUCCGGGAGGGGGGAGCGGAAUUCCCAGUGUAGCGGUGAAAUGCGUAGAUACUGGGAGAAACACCGGUGGCGAAGGCGGCUCCCUGGACCGGUACUGACACUGAGGUGCGAAAGCGUGGGUAGCAAACA
rnacentral:rRNA from 1 species